GCAUGCCAUGAGAUUUUGUUCGUAUUUGCCAGCUGUCAGAGUUUGUAUUAUUCUAAUUUUCUUAGCCGUGCAAACGUAUACUUAACGAUACAAUACUGUGAUAGGCUCAAAGAAAUCAAAAUGGAAAAGGACAUUGCCAGUGCAGACAAGAAAAUCGACAAGAAAAAAGUGACUCCGUGGAUCAGUCAUGAAAUGUGUACACUUUGUAUGCUGCCAAAGCGGGAGCCCAAGUUCGUGAAUUGUGGUCAUUCGUUCUGCGAAAAAUGCGCCACAAAGAUAAUACAGCUCAACAGCUCGGAAACGAACCCUCACUGUCCACUUUGCCCGCUGAUAAAUAACGAGACAAUGUAAAAUAUUUGGGAGCGGAGAGCUUUGUGAUAAUAAAUGUUAUGUUAUGCUCAGAAUA